rnacentral:rRNA from 1 species
AACGGGUGAGUAAUACAUCGGAACAUGCCCAGUCGUGGGGGAUAACACUUCGAAAGAAGUGCUAAUACCGCAUACGUCCUGAGGGAGAAAGCGGGGGGUCGCAAGACCUCGCGCGAUUGGAGUGGCCGAUGUCAGAUUAGCUAGUUGGUGGGGUAAAGGCCUACCAAGGCAACGAUCUGUAGCUGGUCUGAGAGGAUGAUCAGCCACACUGGGACUGAGACACGGCCCAGACUCCUACGGGAGGCAGCAGUGGGGAAUUUUGGACAAUGGGGGCAACCCUGAUCCAGCCAUUCCGCGUGAGUGAAGAAGGCCUUCGGGUUGUAAAGCUCUUUCGGCAGGAACGAAACGGCNAGCUCUAACAUAGCUCGCUAAUGACGGUACCUGAAGAAGAAGCACCGGCUAACUACGUGCCAGCAGCCGCGGUAAUACGUAGGGUGCGAGCGUUAAUCGGAAUUACUGGGCGUAAAGCGUGCGCAGGCGGUUGUGUAAGACAGGUGUGAAAUCCCCGGGCUUAACCUGGGAACUGCGCUUGUGACUGCNCGACUAGAGUGUGGCAGAGGGGGGUGGAAUUCCACGUGUAGCA